AGAGUUUGAUUCUGGCUCAGGAUGAACGCUAGCUACAGGCUUAACACAUGCAAGUCGUGGGGCAGCAUGGUUGUCGCUGCAACAACCGAUGGCGACCGGCGCACGGGUGAGUAACGCGUAUCCAACCUGGCCCUUAGUAGGGGAUAGCCCGGCGAAAGUCGGAUUAAUACCCUAUGUUUUCCCAUGAGAGCAUUUGAAAGGGAACAAAGAUUCAUCGCUAGGGGAUGGGGAUGCGUCCGAUUAGCUUGCCGGCGGGGUAACGGCCCACCGGGGCGACGAUCGGUAGGGGUUCUGAGAGGAAGGUCCCCCCACAUUGGAACUGAGACACGGUCCAAACUCCUACGGGAGGCAGCAGUGAGGAAUAUUGGUCAAUGGGCGAGAGCCUGAACCAGCCCAAGUAGCGUGAGGGAUGACGGCCCUACGGGUUGUAAACCUCUUUUGUACGGGAAUAAAGUGCGCCACGUGUGGCGUUUUGUAUGUACCGUAAGAAUAAGGACCGGCUAAUUCCGUGCCAGCCGCAGC
rnacentral:rRNA from 1 species